GCCGGCGAUAACUCCGGCGAGCUAUGGAGAUGGUUCAACUUCCAGAGGCUUCCUCAUAAAUUUUUGGAAUUUUUGAGACACAGAUAAACUUCGGGUGAUCGAGAUCAGCUAUUUUUCUGCGUCCAGCAGCCACAAUAGUCAUCGGUGUACUGCCACAGGAGGAGUUAUUUUACAGAACAACCUGUUUUCUUCCUCGCAGGUUUAACGUCAAUUAUUUAAUUGUUUUACUAUCUUUUUCUAAAUUUAAAAUCUAGAACUCCGCAUGUGUUAGAAAUAAUGUGGACCUUGGUAGAGGUUGUGUUAAUUUAAAUUUUUAAGAUUAAUAAAUGAAGAUUUGUAUGGUAUUUAAACAGUUUGUAAGUGAGGUAACAGGGUUGAGCUGGGCUCCCCUGAUUUUAGUUUCUGAAAAUUUCUGGGCUAAGUUGGCCCGAAAUGAAAUUAUAACAGUUUGAUUUAAAUUAUUUUAUAUGCAUAUUGGGCCUAAAUUGUGGGCCUGGUUAU